UGAGCAGUAGUUUAGCUGGCAAAACGUUGGGUUCUGAUCCCAAAGACCGUAGGUUCGAGUCCUACCUGCUCAGC
rnacentral:tRNA from 1 species